rnacentral:lncRNA from 1 species
AAACAGCAUGUUUCUAUGCCUGAAAAGACGAGAAGACAGGUCCAGUAGGCUGGCAAGAUUUAAGCUUAUGUCCAAUGUCAGUGGGCUUUCUGCAAGCCAAGGAAGAUGGCAUAGAAAAGAAGAAACAUGCAUCCUAAGAGGUCUUGCUAAGAGACAAAAGAAGCCCAGCAGCCUAGCAUGUUGCUUUGGUCCUAUGGAAGGGAGGACACUUGAUUUGUAAAUAAGAUAUGAAGGAAUUAGCUGAGGCAGAAGCUUGAAGAAAAAAAAAGAAAGAAAAAAAGAAAAGAAAAAGAGAAAGAAAAAAAGAAAAAGAAAAAGAAAAAACAACCCAGUACUUUUGAGGGGAGGCAGAGUCUUGCUAUGUAGCUAGACUGUCAUUCUUGGUGCCUUAGCCUCCUGGGUGCUAGGGUUUCAGGCACAAGACACCAUGUCCAGCUCUCUAUCUAGGUUGGUGAAAUAUACAUGACAAGAAUCAAACAGAAGAAAUAUAAGAAAGCUACAGAAGUAGUGGGGAGGUUUUAAUUAAUUUACAAUUGCUUUGUGCGAGUAUGUACUUUUCUAAAGAGAAAGUUCUCAAUUUUUCU